CGUAUCCGUUCAGAACUAAUGCAGCCGGUUGUAUUAUGAUGAUGCAAGCAUUGUGCUGUGGUUUUGAUCCCCUGACGGAUCUCAAAACCGGGCCGCAAAAACGCAGAUGUGAAAGUAGCCUUAUCUGUCCAACUUAUGGCUUGUAAAUGAAGCUAGAGCUGCUCCUACAGCCCCCUGUGAGGACACGCUGAGACUUGUAGUUCAGCACCAGCCAGUUACCACACAGCUAGCAAUAAGAGUGAACCAUUCGUCGUCUUAUACUGAUUAUUCCCGCUUUCCUCCGGCCUGAAUACUGCAGAAUGUGACCACUGAUGGCGCCAUCACGGAAAUCAAUAAGAAGAUUGAUAUCGAUAUCGCAUCUCUGAAGACACUUAUGGAGUCGCAUAAACUGGACACCAUCCGGUUUUUGGCUGCUUCUGUAUUUACGUGCCUGGCGAUCGCCCUGGGAUUUUAUCGACUCUGGAAAUAGUAAAGACGUUUUCUAAAACAUUCCUGGUCGCACUUGAAUGGCAGCUGCUCCAGGGGCAGUCCUUCCUCCGCUGCCGCAUCGUUUCCUCUCUGUGGGCAGAGCUGCAGCCCCCUACGUGGCGGUUCAGAGUUAUUUAUGCUUUUUAAUAAUCUCCCACGCACAAUUUAUCAUUUCUCAAGUUACUCCGGGAACCGACUGAAUGUCUCGUAUCUGCACCAAAUGUGCCUUUUUAUAUGAGUUUUGGGAGUGGAAUGUGUUUGUUAUUAUAUUAAACUUAUUGGACGCUGCUG